CCUACGGGAGGCAGCAGUGAGGAAUAUUGCUCAAUGGACGAGAGUCUGAACCAGCCACGUCGCGUGAAGGAUGACUGCCCUCUGGGUUGUAAACUUCAUUUAUAUGGGAAUAAAAUGAUCCACGUGUGGGAUUUUGUAUGUACCAUCUGCAUAAGGACAGGCUAACUACGUGCCAGCAGCCGAGGUAAUACGGAGGAUCCGAGCGUUAUCCGGAUUUAUUGGGUUUAAAGGGAGCGUAGGUGGAUUGUUAAGUCAGUUGUGAAAGUUUGCGGCUCAACCGGAGAAUUGCAGUUGAAACUGGCAGUCUUGAGUACAGUAGAGGUGGGUGGAAUGCGUGGUGUAGCGGUGAAAUGCUUAGAUAUCACGAAGAACACCGAUGGCGAAGGCAGCUCACUGGACUGCAACUGACGCUGAGGCUCGAAAGUGUGGGUAUCAAACAGGAUUAGAUACCCGAGUAGUC
rnacentral:rRNA from 1 species